UUUGUAGGUCUAACAACGAUGUUUCCCGGGUGGUCCUGGGUUGUUAUGGGACUACUAGAAAUCCAAAAAUGGAUGAAGGAAGAGAAAGGACCCAAGCCUAAAAGUAGAAUUAUCAUAAACCCAGAAGAUCUUGGUACAGAUGUCGACACCGGUCUUCGGGAAGAGGAAUUUGAUGCUUUAGUGUCGGAGGAGGUUGACCACCUUGUUGCGCAGAUCCGUGCGUCUCUUCAAAAUGAUUGAUGUAAUUUAUACAAAAAAUAUUUUGAUUAAUAAAACAUUGUUAGAUCGUUUU